rnacentral:rRNA from 1 species
AGUGAACGCUGGCGGUAGGCCUAACACAUGCAAGUCGAACGGCCGCACAGUAAGAGCUUGCUCUUACGGGUGGCGAGUGGCGGACGGGUGAGGAAUACAUCGGAAUCUACUUUUUCGUGGGUGAUAACGUAGGGAAACUUACGCUAAUACCGCAUACGACCUACGGGUUAAAGCAGGGGAUCUUCGGACUCUGCGCGUCUCAUUGAGCCGAUGUCGGAUUAGCUAGUUGGCGAGGUAAAGGCCCACCAAGGCGACGAUCCGUAGCUGGUCUGAGAGGAUGAUCAGCCACACUGGAACUGAGACACGGUCCAGACUCCUACGGGAGGCAGCAGUGGGGAAUAUUGCACAAUGGGCGCAAGCCUGAUCCAGCCAUACCGCGUGGGUGAAGAAGGCCUUCGGGUUGUAAAGCCCUUUUGUUGGGAAAGAAAAGCAGCGGAUUAAUACCCCGCUGUUCUGACGGUACCCAAAGAGUAAGCACCGGCUAACUUCGUG